rnacentral:rRNA from 1 species
GAUGAACGCUGGCGGCGUGCCUAACACAUGCAAGUCGAACGAGGUAUUUUGAUUGAAGUUUUCGGAUGGAUUUCAAGAUACCGAGUGGCGGACGGGUGAGUAACGCGUGGGUAACCUGCCUCAUACAGGGGGAUAACGGUUAGAAAUGACUGCUAAUACCGCAUAAGCGCACAGUACCGCAUGGUACGGUGUGAAAAACCCCGGUGGUAUGAGAUGGACCCGCGUCUGAUUAGCGAGUGGGUGGGGUAACGGCCCACCAAGGCGACGAUCAGUAGCCGACCUGAGAGGGUGAUCGGCCACAUUGGGACUGAGGCACGGCCCAGACUCCUACGGGAGGCAGCAGUGGGGGAUAUUGCACAAUGGAGGAAACUCUGAUGCAGCGACGCCGCGUGAGUGAAGAAGUAUUUCGGUAUGUAAAGCUCUAUCAGCAGGGAAGAAAAUGACGGUACCUGACUAAGAAGCCCCGGCUAACUACGUGCCAGCCGCCGCGGUAA